ensembl:miRNA
GUCCGGGUUGGGCAGUGAGGAGGGUGUGACGCCGCGAAGUGCGCCUCGCCCUUGUCCAAGUCGGAC